CUACCUCUCAAUUUCUUCCCCGAUUCAAAUUUGCCCCCCGCAUUCUUACCUCUAAAUUUCUGCCCGCGUCGAAAGUCGAAACUCCUACCUCGCCCGCGUCGAUUGUGCUCUGCCCACCACCACCGGCGACGCUGUCUCUCUUUCCAGCAACACCGAGGCCGUCUGCGCAGCGCUACCACUCCACUCGUCGCCCAGCUCUACUCCCUCCCCGUCGCCAGCUCAUCUCCUUUUCUUCCUCUCCCCACCCUCGGCGUCGCCCCCCACCCCCACCAACUGCAUCACCCAUCCUCUCCCCCACCCCCACCACUCGCGUCUUCCAUCCUCUCCCCCAACCCCCCCCCCCCCCCCUUGUCGCCCAAACAGUGCUCUAGUUGGCCCGCACCCCCUCUGCACAGCAACCCCCCCGUCGACCCUCCCAUCCUCUGCCCAUGCCUCUGUCCAUUCUAUGCCACAGUUUGAAAAUGUGUUAUUUCUACUGAAGAGAUCUACGGCCACAGGCUACUAAGCUUGCUUUCACCUAUCAAAAAGAAAAAUAACUGCAACUUGCUUUCUUUGAGGUGGAGGGGAACUUGACAUAGGUUGAUUCUUGUAUGGAGUAAUGACAGGAUGAAGCAAACCAGGAAGCUAAAUUGGCC